UCAUAUAACUGAAUAUUUUUAGGAAUCAAAGAAAGAAGGAUAUUUAACAACUGCUCGGGCUAAGCUUGAGGAAAUAUUCAAGUAUUUGGGGAAUAAACUUUGGUUUGCCGGAAAUGAGGCAGAAUAUUAUUAAUACUAAUCACUUUUCCCGACUUCCAUUUUUAUGAAAUAUUUGAUCAACACAGAGAGUUCCAUCCUCAGUUAUUUGAUGGUCUUGACAAUCUUAAAGCUUAUAUGGAUCGCUUUGAAGCAAGCUCUCCCUACUAUCAAGAGGUAUA